UCUAGAGGGCGUAGUCAGAAGAAAACGGCAACCAAUAGAAGUAAUACUCAUCAUCACUUCUAUUGGUUUCUGACACGUCCAUCAACCGCCAGCACUCACCCCUCCUCCCUGCGCGUUCACCGACUCGUGAACUUGACCGACCCCGCCCCCAGCAUUCAUGCACACGCGACAAGGCUCAUCAUCACUCGGCUAGUAGCAAGGUAACGAGAGUUAGCAGCAGGCUGAGCUACUUGAAAACUUUGGUGGCUUUUGCAGAGCUACAGGAAGAACUUUGGCUUUUGGAACACUGGACUAACCAUGUCAGGAUAACAUACUCCCUUGGAUUAUAGUCAUCGGACUCGCAAGACCAGACUCCAACACGGGCUGAAAAUUUGAAAUGGGACCUGACACUCUUGGACACAGAUGUCGGCUACGGCAGCGGCUUCAAAUACGCUUUGGUGACCAUAUUUCUAAUCGAGAGUUGUGCGAACGAGCCAGACAAACCAGCUGGGAGGAGGACGGAAGCACCCCUUCUCCAUCCGCGUUCAGUUGCUAAAUACUGAUUCACCCCGUAGUGUGGUGUUUUCCAUAGCUGUUCCUUGCUCCUGUAUCACAACAUAUCAAGGCUGCCAAGUAAAUGAAGAAUGAAUCACCGCACACUGGUAGUUUAUUUUAUUCAUGUUUGUGGGUGUAAUUUCGUCCAGUUGCAGAUACUACUAUCCUUUUUGGAAUGAUCUGCCUUUGAAAAACAAUGGUUCUAUCUGACAAAAGCGAACAGAUCCUGUAGUUGUAAUUGAUACACUAAAUCAGUGUUUCUCAACCUUUUUUUUAGGCGAGGCACCCUUUCAAUUCAUGAAAAAUUUCAAGGCACCCCAAACCAACUAGCCGUAAUAUAGCAUCACAUCCGAUACCACACAAGCUUAGAAUGUAACACAUUUGGAGACACACAACCUAGUCGCACGACCUACGUUCAAAGUUGCAGCUGGGGUGACCAAUAUUUACUUUAUUGUGCAUAAAUGGCAGAUCAAAGAUUCCACUGACUAACAUUAACUUAUCAAUUUUGACAAAUAUGUUUUAUGUUAUAUAAUUUAUUUAUCAGCCACGUUUCCGCGGCACCCCUGAGGGGGCCCUACGGCACCCCAGGGUGCCCCGGCACCCCUGUUGAGAAACACUGCACUAAAUUAUGAUAUUCCUAUGUGUGCGCGCGCACGCGCCAAGUUUUCAAUUCAACACACUGGGACACUUUUCAGUCUUUGAGGUUGCUGGAAUCAACACAGACUACCUCCAUGCACCUUAUCAGAACACUUUGCAUGUUUUUUGUAUACUUGUCCCCUUUGUGUAUUGCUGCUAAUCUUUCUCUUUCUAGGUUCUGUUGGUUGCAUGCAGAUUGUGCCAGAUGAUUUAUCUGUCUAUGGUCUAAGCAUGGGCUCUGUGCUAAUAUGCAAUUUGUGCUCUUUUUUCCCCUCAGGUCAACAGCAGACAGGGUCCUUCCACAACCACAUACUUAUGCCAGUAAAAGCCACAGCUUUUCUCCUCCAAUCCAAGAAGCCUGGACUGCAGUCACCAUCUCAACACACCAACCAAGAGAAAGGCAGAUGGCUCAAUUCAAUAUGGAAAAUUGCACAAUAAAAGUUCCAGGACAUGAAGGCUGCAUACUGUGAACGUCAACCUUCAGGGCACCGUCCUGCGCAGAAGACUUUCUACCCUAAGAGGGAUGGCUGACCGCAGACACUCACAACCAGCACAGACGCCUCCAACCUCAGACUAGGCCCUUCACAGUUGCUGCACUUACCCACCUUCCCAGAGUUUUUGUAUGGUAAUGACAACUGUAAAUAUAGUAUAAAGUAAUGUAUCUAGUGUCAUGUGUAAUACAUUGUUUAAAUUGUCCAUACAUUUCAAUGACAGUAAAUAUUGGUGGACAC